rnacentral:rRNA from 1 species
UACGAAGGGGGCUAGCGUUGUUCGGAAUCACUGGGCUUAAAGGGCGCGUAGGCGGGUGUGCAAGUCUGUGGUGAAAGCCUCCAGCUUAACUGGAGAAGUGCCAUGGAUACUGCACAUCUUGAGGAGGGUAGGGGCAUCUGGAACGGUCGGUGGAGCGGUGAAAUGCGUUGAUAUCGACCGGAACUCCGGUGGCGAAGGCGAGGUGCUGGACCCUUUCUGACGCUGAGGCGCGAAAGCCAGGGGAGCAAACGGG